rnacentral:misc_RNA from 1 species
GAUGAAAAACGUAGCGAAAUGCGAUAAGUAAUAUGAAUUGCAGAAUUCAGUGAAUCAUCGAAUCUUUGAACGCAUCUUGCGCUCCUUGGUAUUCUGAGGAGCAUGCCUGUUUGAGUGUCAUUAAAUUCUCAACUACACUGACUUUGAAUUGGUGUGGCUUGGAUUUGGGGGGAAAAUUGUUGUGGGCUUUUUGUAUAGUCUGCUCCCCUGAAAUUGAUUAGCGGUACCUUUGUGGAACUGUCUACAGGUGUGAUAAUUAUCUACAUCUUAGACAUCUGCUGGAAUGCUGCUUUCUAAACCUUACUUGUAUUGACAAUCUUGACCUCAAAUCAGGUAGGACUACCCGCUGAACUUAAGCAUAUCAAUAAGCGGAGGA